CCCACUGCUGCCUCAAAUUCUGCUUUUCAACCAGACAACGUUGCCGACGACAGCGACGACUUUUUGCCAAAAAAAAAUAUACUGCCACUUUUUUGUCGAAUUCCUCCGACAACUCAUCCUGUUCUGAUUUCGUUUUUAGAAAGCAAGCAUCUUAGCGAGAGCGUGCCCCCCGAAUCUGAAGUGUGAGUGACAAUUAAAAAAAAAGUCUUUAAAUUAAAAAAAAAAAAACGAAUAAUUUCAAAUUAAAAUUAAUUUAAUUUAGAAAUAAAAUAAAUACAUUUCAAAGUGCGUUUUGUUUUUGGUUUGAUUUUUUGACAAUUCUCGUUUCGUUUUCUUCUUUUCUGUGUAAUUUUCAUUCGGUUCCUUAGAGUUUCAUUUUAAUUUCGUUUUUAUGUUGAUUUGCAUAUAAUUUGCCGUUAUUUUAUUUAUUUUCGUUUUCGUGUGUGUUUUUAAUUUUAUUUUUCUGAACUUUUUUGAGAAAGGGAAAUCCAAUAUUCAAUUCGGGUGCGUUUCGUUCGGGAAUAUUUCGGAUUUGUCAGUUUAGAUAAAGUGUUUAGACAACGCGCAUUAUAAUUUUAUUUGUAUUGUGCAACGAAAGUGAGAACUUAAUUAUUCAUCCUACGAAGUACUUUAUUCUAAAUAACGGUAAGAUAAAAAGAUAAUACAAUUGUCAACUUAAGUAAGUGCUAUCGAAGGAAGAAAUCAAAUUCAUAUCCCCCUUAAAAUUAUUCUCAAAUAAUAAUGCUGUGUAUUUUCCAUAAAAGAAAUCAAUAACCAAUUCAAAACACGAAAUUACCGAAAAACGGUAAGCCAAAAAGUAUAGAGAUACUUUUUAGAUACACAUAAAGAUCGUUAGAUUAUUAUUAUUAUAUCCAGAGAAUGCAUAAAUAUCU